GACGAACGCUGGCGGCGUGCCUAACACAUGCAAGUCGAACGGAGUCAUUCUUGGUGGCAACAUCUUGGGUGAUUUAGUGGCGAACGGGUGAGUAACACGUGAGGAACUUGCCCCGAAGACCGGGAUAACAGGAGGAAACUCUUGCUAAUACUGGAUGUCCUCGCUGGGUCGCAUGGUCUGGUGAGGAAAUGCUUUUGCGCUUCGGGAGGGUCUCGCGGCCUAUCAGCUUGUUGGUGGGGUAAUGGCCUACCAAGGCGACGAUCUGUAGCGGGUCUGAGAGGAUGAUCCGCCACACUGGAACUGAGACACGGUCCAGACUCCUACGGGAGGCAGCAGUGGGGAAUUUUGGACAAUGGGCGCAAGCCUGAUCCAGCCAUGCCGCGUGAGUG
rnacentral:rRNA from 1 species